AGGAGGGGGAAGACAGUUGGUGGGGACACAGUUGGAUGACUGUUGAUUGGCAGUUGAGAGGGUUGAGAGAAGGGAGCUGGAGGCUUGGAAAGAAAAAGGAGUACAGUACUGAACAGGAGAAAUGGUGAAAUAGAAAUGGUGAAAUAGAAAUGGGGGUUUAAGUAGAGGCAGGGGUCUACUCUCAAAAGAAAAGCCCAUUGCCUGCUUAGGGAAAAAGCAAAAAUGUCCUCAGAAGAAGGCUGGUCAGAAAAUGUGUAUCAAAAAUGAGGCACCUUAACCCAAAGUAGAUGUCAGGAGUUAUAAAGCGAGGGAGCAGUCAGAAGAAGAGCCUGGCUGGGAGAGGAGGAGAUGCUCUUGGGGGGACGAGAAAGGCCUGCCCCUGAUGAAUCUGAAUUUAAUGGCAUGGUCUAUUGAAAAGAUAAUCCUAAAUAAUGAAGACUUCUAUUGCCAUCCUUCAAAUCCCCCAGCUGAAGCCAUUCAAAUCUGCCAAGAAGCAACGGGGGGGGGGGGUGUCACCUUUCUCCAAGCAGCAUCAGGGGACCCAUCAACCUGCAGCAGGAUCAGGUCUGGCUCCAAGGAACAAGCUCCAAUCCACCACAGAUACUGCCUGAUGAGAAUAAUCUCUGGAGUCCGUAUCAGGUCAAGGAGUUCACCUCUUUCCCCAUUGCUCUCUCCAUCUCUCUCUGCUCCCUGAUUCUCAUGCUAGGAGAGUCUAUGAUGGAGACAGAAGGGGAAGCACAUGUCAGCUGGUAUCGAAAUAUGAUAGACAGAGACAAACAAAUCAUUUCUAUCCAAGGAAGAGGUGGUUUUCAGGCAUCCCUUGCUGCCUGUUCACUGUGCUGAAUCUGUUGUGAGGAAGGGCCAGAUUUUGGAAAGAGGCAUAUCGGCCCCUAUAUUACUGAGAUGCUUGUUCAUGCAGAUGGGAGCAAACCAGGUUCUGCUCGUGCUCUCUGCAAGGUGCCUCUGUUGACCAGAGGGAGAACAUACCCUUCCAAAGAAGAACAAAGAACGUAGAUGUUUCCUCCAGGUCCAUUCCCUGCUGCAUCGGUUACACAAGGAAGUCCCUUCCGCUGAACAUUCUGAAAUCCUAUAUACGUACCGGUAUGCGUUGUCCCAUGCCGGCUGUCAUAUUUACUACAGUGCGCAAUCGGAAGAUUUGUGCGGAUCCCAAGGCCGAAUGGACCCAGGAUCGCAUGCGUCACCUAGGCUGACCGUGCCACAUUCGUCACCUCCUCCACAACCAGAAGGAGAGAGAAAGGAUGCACAAGAAACCAUCAGUAUGUGGAGAAAAGGAGAACAUUACUUUCCCCUGACAACUGCAUAUCAUUACCCUACAUUCAUAUUUGUAUAGUAGAGACAUCCCACAUUUCCAUCAUAGCUGCUUCCUUUUAGCUUUGCAAGUGAUAUGACCAACAUAUGACUGAGUGCUGAAUUGGCCCUCUGUCAUUCCCCUCCCUUCAUGCUGUAGAGAAGCUGCCCGCCUUGGAUUUUUCUUUUAAUGAACCACAUAUCUGCUAAGCUGCUUCUUCACAUCAUUAAAAUAAAACAAGCAUUUUAAAAACAGUUUCCUGAAUCCUUUG